UACGUAGGGACCAAGCGUUGUUCGGAUUUACUGGGCGUAAAGGGCGCGUAGGCGGCUUAACAAGUCACUUGUGAAAUCUCCGGGCUUAACCCAGAACGGCCAAGUGAAACUGACAUGCUAGAGUGCAGAAGGGGCAAUCGGAAUUCUUGGUGUAGCGGUGAAAUGCGUAGAUAUCAAGAGGAACACCUGAGGUGAAGACGGGUUGCUGGGCUGACACUGACGCUGAGGCGCGAAAGCCAGGGGAGCAAACGGG
rnacentral:rRNA from 1 species